GUAGGUGGCAAGCGUUGUCCGGAAUUAUUGGGGCGUAAAGCGCGCGCAGGCGGUUCUUUAAGUCUGAUGUGAAAGCCCACGGGCUCAACCGUGGAGGGUCACUGGAAACUGGAGAACUUGAGUACAGAAGAGGAAAGCGGAAUUCCACGUGUAGCGGUGAAAUGCGUAGAGAUGUGGAGGAACACCAGUGGCGAAGGCGGCUUUCUGGCCUGUAACUGACGCUGAGGCGCGAAAGCGUGGGGAGCAAACAGGAUUAGAUACCCUGGUAGUCCACGCCGUAAACGAUGAGUGCUAAGUGUUAGGGGGUUUCCGCCCCUCAGUGCUGCAGCUAACGCAUUAAGCACUCCGCCUGGGGAGUACGGCCGCAAAGGCUG
rnacentral:rRNA from 1 species